CGUUAAUAACAUAUUCUUCCCUCUUUCCUUCCAUACCUAAAGAGCCUCUUUGUCAAUCUGGUCAACAUGCCAGACACCGUGUUUGUCACAGGUUUUGCAAUGGAUCUCACGUCCCAAACCCUUAGAUGUUCAUAAUAGCUACUGGUCAGCAAGAUAUAACUUGGACUCUUUGCAAUGUAACGGAUGCCUAUUGCAUGAACUUCCGUAUUGUGGUAAGCUAACUUACAAGGAUCAUCUCACAAAUCCCAGCAACUGAAUUUGCAGUCAUCCUGAGUUCCUGACAGUGCACAAAGCAGCUGUGGCUGGUGGAUAUCAAAAGAGGCAGCCAAAGCUCAUAAUCAUGUGCUUUUCAGUCUUAGGAAAUACUUAGUUGAGAUUCAAGGAUUGAUGUUACUACACGUAUUUAUGACAUAUCUCUAGCAAAUCGAUCCCUACAAGAAACAGAAGACCUUGUCAUGGAAGUACUUCAGUUAUUUCCUCAAUAAAAGGUAAACUUUUUGAAA